rnacentral:miRNA from 1 species
CCAGUUCUAGGUAUGAAGACAAUCAAGAAAAGAUUUGGUUUUCUUGAUUGUCUUCAUAUCUAGAAAUGGGCAGU